GGCCGGGGCCGGGGGGACUCUGGGAAGCCGCGCCCGGACUCGUGGGCCCGGGGGACAGGAGCCCCUGAGCCGCGGCCGGCCCCGCCGCUCGCGGGCCCCGUCACCGCCGCUCCUGCGGAGCUCGGGGGGCCGGGGCCGAGCGCGUGCGUGCGUGUGUGCGGCGGCCCGGGCGGCGGGCGGGGGGCCGAGCGGGGCGGCGCGGGCGGGCCUGCAGCCAUGAGCGGGGCGGCGGGCCGCUGCGUGGGGCCCAGCCGGCCGGGGCGCGGGCGCGGGAGGCCGUGGGGGAAGAGGGGCGCCGCGGGGGCGCCGCGCGGCCGGGGAGCGGGGCGCCGGGCGACGACCUCGGCGUGGGACACGCGCUGCGUGAGCGCAGAGAGGCUGCGAGACUGUCGGCGGCCCCGGGGGAGGAGAGCGGUGGCCGACGCGGCCGGGGCGGCGGGGGCCAACGGGCCGGAGGCCUCGGAGACCCCCGGCGCCGCAGGCUCGGCGGAGGCCGCGGGGGACCCGGGCGCCGUGUGGGUGGACGGCGCGGUGGGGGAGCCCCAGGUGGUGGGGCCUGUCGGGUCGGUGUGGGUGACGGGCACCGGCGGGGAGGAGGACGGGGCGCCUUACCGGAGCCCCCGGGGCUGUGAGCGGAAAGGCCGCCCGGGAUCCAUGGGGCACGAGAGCAUCCUGGAGCUGUGGCUGAAGGUGCAGGCUAUGCGGGCGGCGGCGGGGUGCGGGGAGGGAAGCAGAGUGGAGCUCCACCCGGUGCCCGCGGGAGAGGGCCCGGUUGACAGGGGCGUCCCCGGCAGGGCCUCCUGGGUGGAGACGAGCCGGGGUGGUCUCACGGGGCCCUGGGUGAAGGGACAGGCUCGGGCAAUGCCCCGGGCCUCGGGAGUGUCCGCAGGCGUUGGGCCCGGGGCGGGUUGUGAGAGGGUCCCAGGCCUGUGCGGGCGGGGACAGGCGGCUGGCCUGCUGCCUGGGGGUGUGCCUGGGAUGGUGCCCUACCUGCUGGGGAGAGGACAGGCCGCGGGGUGGCCCGCGCCUGUGGACAGGGAGAGGGGCUGGGGGAGUGCCCCUGGUCCGUGGGGCAGAGGGCAGUCCCUGCAGGUGCUGGGGGCUCCUGGCCCAGAGACCGUCUGUGGGGACACCCCGGGCUCAUGGAGAGGGGGGCAGGCUUCGAGGGUGCUGCCUGAUGCUGUGGGGGCGCCCGGCAGGGUGGAGGAGGAAGCCAGCUGUGCAGGUGCCCUGGGCGCGUGGCGGAACGGACAGGCCGUGGAGGGGAUGGGGUCUGGGGGUGCUCCUGGCACGUGGGGCACUGGACAGCCCGUGGGGGUGCCUUGCGCUGUUGAAGAGGAAGCUAGAUGUGGGGGUGACCCAGGAUUCAGGGAACGGGGGCAGGCUGUGUGGGUAGAGACCGGCUCUGGAGGGGACCCGGGUUCCUGGGCAGCUGCACACGCCGCAGAGGCAUGCGGUCCUGCCGAGCUGCAGGUGGGCCCUGGAGGCGCUCCAGGCCUGUGGAGUGUGGAGCAGGGCCUGGGGGUGCCCACGGCCCUGGGGAGGGAGACGGGCUGCGGGAGCAUCCCUGGUGUGUGGGGGACCCAGCAGCCGGUGGGGGCAGCGGUGGCGGGACCAGGGGCCCUGGGAGGACAGGCGGGUUACGGGGCUGCCCCAGGCCUGUGGGGUGGGCAGCGGGCCCUGGGGGCGCCGGGGGUGGUUGCGGGGGACACAGGCUGUGGGGGUGUUGUGAGCCUGUGUGACGGGAGGCAGGCUCUGGGGGAGCAGGAGACCCUGCUGCCCGCAGCGUUGGGGGCACCCGGGCCUGCGGGUCAAGAGGCCGGCCCCAGGGAUGUGUCUUGUCUGUGCAGAAGGAGACAGGCAGAGGGGCUGCCUGGGGCCGCAGUCCUGCCCAGGCACAGGUGCGGCCCGGGGGGGUUCGCGAGGGCACCUGCGGCCGUGCCCGCUGCCGUGUGGGUGUCCGGCUCCACGUGCCAGGACGGCGGCUCUCGAGGUGGCUUGAGCCUGUGCGACGGCGUCUCUGCUGCCCUGUUACCCGUGGCUCCCGAGGGGCCGUGGUCUGCGGGGGAGACUGCGGCUUCUGCAGCUUUCCCAGGCCCGUGGGAGGGGGGGCAGGCCAUCGGGGGUCCUGAAGCGCCCGGGCUUGCGGGGCAGGAGACGGGCUCUGGGGGUGUGCCGAGACCUUGGGGACGGAGACCGAGUGCAGGGGCGUCUGCCGCUGCCCCGGUGCCCGUGGCUCCCAGGACGCCCCGGCCGGUCCGGGAGGAGUCCACCCCCGGGGGUGUCGCAGGCCUGUGGGGGGAGAGGGACACGGUGCAAGCACCCGUAGACGCCAGGGGUCCCUCACGGGUGGGGCUGCCCCCCAGCGCCGGGAUGCCUGGGCCCACGGGGGAGAGGCUGGGCCCGGGGGGCCCCUCCGGCUCGCUGGGAGGGGGGCAGGCUGCUGAGAUGCCUGGGGCCGAGGGGGUGCUCACGGCGGCGGGGGCCCCCGGGCCGAUGAUGGCCAAUGCCAGCUGUGGGGAUGUCUUGGGCGUGUGGGGACAGAGACCGGUGACGGAGGGACCUGUGGAUGGCCUGUGGAGGAGAAGAGCCAGCGGGCCGGUCCCUGAGGCUGCCAGGGUGCCCCUGCCUUUGGGGGUGCUCGCGGCUGUGGGGGUGCCCGCAGCGGGGCGCGUGCCUGCCGUGGUGUGGGUGACUGGGUGUGCCGGGGAAGAAGCCGCCGAGGCUGCCGCCGGCCUCCCAGCGUCCAGGACGCCGUCUGCGGAGGGAGCUGGGGCUUCGUGGGGGGAGGCGGGAGGCAGACAGGCAGUGGGGGCGCCUCUUGCCCACGGGUGUGGGACCCGGUCCUGGAGCUGCCCGCGGCCCCCAGGGGAAGAGAGCCACUGUGAGAACGUGCCUGCGGCCUCAGGGACAAGAGGCCCUGUGCCCCCGGUUGCAGGGCAGGAGACGGGUAUCGGCCAUUUCAGAGGUCACCCGCAGCAGAGUGGGGGGGCACAGGCCGGAGGAGCGUCUGCAGUGAGGGUCCGGGGGAGCCCUUUGGGGGAGGACAGGUUGAGGGGGGCCUUCUCAUAGCACGUGUAGGGAACGGGGUGGGGGGUGUCCUGGGCUCUUUGGGAGGGGACAGGCUGGGGAGAGGUUGGUCCUGGGUUGUAGACGGAGGCGCAGGCCGUAGGGGUGUCUUGGGGAUCUGGGACAGAUGCUUUGUGGAGGCUUCCUGGGUCUAUCGGGUGACAAGUUAGGAGGUGUCCUGGAGCAGUGGGGAAGGGACAGGUUGCAGAGAGAGGGGCGUCCCAGGAAUGUGUAUAGGGGAACAGUGGGGUGGGUGUCACUGGACUCUGUGUACGUGUGUGUGUGUGUGUGUGUCAGUCACUCGAGGUAUCCUGCAACGGGGGGGCCGGGGCGGGGGGGGGGGCGGUCACCUAGUGUUUCCCUAGUGCAGCCCUGAGUCCUAGGCCUUUGGCUUCUGGGGAAAGUGUCGGCCACAUAGAACUCGCAGGGCCCCGGCCCCAGCUCUGCGGGCUCCUCCGUUCUGCGGCGGCUGCCCUGGACUGUAGUGACCGUGGUGACAAAAGCCAGUGGGACUGCCUCGCCCCCGUGCCCUCCCGUCUGCGUCGUCGCUCUCGUCUCUGCAGCUGUGGGAACAGGGAAUCUUGAACAGCUGCCCUUCUGUUCCUACACGUGUAUCUGUCUUGAAGCAAAUCCAGUCUACAGACCUUGGGUUUACUCAAAAGCUUAAAUUAGGGAUUUUUUUUUAAAACCUGGAUUUCCCGAUUGAUUUGCUGUAGGAUUCUUUGAGAGCACAAACACACCAGUACGUCUAAAAUGAAUCGGUUUGUGGAAAAUCGGCUUAAUUCAACAGACAUUGAGUUCAAUUAUCUGUUCUGCUCAAAACCCUGUAUUGUGGGGAAUCUCAGAGCAGCAGGACCGGGCCCGGCCCCCCGGGAAGCUGGCACAGCUGGAAGGCUGGGGCCUGGCUGUGAAGUAGGUCAAUAACAGACCGGUGUGUGGUCGGCACGCCACGAGGCAGGCGUGAUCGGCGUCUGAGGAGGCGGUCCGAGACAGCGGGGUGAGCGCGGCCACGUCCCUACAACUCCUGACAAAACGCUUUCCAGGCUGUCAGCUCACGGGGCGACGACCGAUGACCGAUGACUGUAGGUGGGCUCUCGCCAGCGCUCCGCCCUCUGACGGAACGGGCCGGGGCAGGCCGGCUCCCUGCCGUGCUCAUCUAGCCUGGCGUCCCACUGGACAGGAGGAGUGACCAGCCAGCGCCAGACCCAGGUUUCUUGGCACAAGUGAUCAGACGCACGUGUAUCUUGUCAUGAGAGAUCCGUUCCCCGCUCGAAGGGUAGCAGUCACGGACCGUCUUUGUGCACCGGCCCUUUGCACGGAGCAGGGUGUCUCAGCACUGCCUGCUGGGGUUUAGAGAGGGGUGCACACGGAGGCUCACUCUUUCUUCCUUCUUCCAAGUGCUCCCAGCUGACUCGGCCGCUCUCCUACAUGGACCUUCAGUAUUUAUUUCUCUUUGAGAGAGAGAAAGAGUACGCGCACAGGGGAGGUUCAGAGAGAGAGGGAGACCCAGAAUCCGAAGCAGGCUCCAGGCUCCGAGCUGUCAGCACAGAGCCCGACGCGGGGCUCGAACCCACGAACUGGGAGACCGUGACCUGAGCCGAAGUUGGACGCUAACCGACUGAGCACCCAGGCGCCCCUACGGGGGGUUUAUCUGAAAGUGACUCUUUGUCACGUGAUCACACGUGUGCACUUUCUCACGAGAGCCCAGAGGCCGUCCCAGAUUAAAGGCAUCAUGGAGUGUGCACAGACCCUCGGGGCCGUUUGCUGCAUGGGGCCUGUGGUUGUGAAAUCAUUCGUUCCCCUUGACUCAGUAAUCCCAGAACAGGUGUUUCGUCGUAGGAAAUGCUUUAAAAUGAGGGAAAAUAAAUGCGUGGCGAUAUUAAUGGAAGUAAUGUGUCUGUUGGUGGAAAAAUGAGAACCGUGCAAAUGGUUAAUAGGGUUACAGUUCAGCUGAGCAUGAAAAGGCCAUUCAUGGGAGUUUGGAAAGCGCAGCCAUGGAAAAUAAUGAAAACAGUAGGCUACGGAAGUGCCCGUGUUCAUUAAGGGAAAGACAAAACAAAACUCACUUGUGUCAGGAUUAAAACUGACCAAAACUGAAGCCCGCGUAGGAGGCGUGCGGGGACCGUGGGGACCAGGUGUGCUGAGGUGCAGGGCGGGGUGGCGCGGCCAGCAGGUGGGCGGCUGGGCGUCCACAGCGGCGUCAGCCAGGCUCAGCACGGACGGCGGUGCCUCUCCCGGAACCUGGCGCUUGGAGGCGAGGCAGAGACCAGGGCGCGAGGGGCUCUCCGGCCUCCGCGUGGGGCUUUGCCUUUCGGAGGAGGACCCCGCGUGCUGCCGGGCAGCGGCGGGGACACGGGGGAGCCGGGGGCAUGCGAGAGUGGCCGCUUCUGUCCACGCACAAGGAGAAUGCGUCUCAACAGGGACACUCGGGUGGGGAGAGCACACCCUCCCACGUGGCGCAGUGUGUUCUCACGCGCUCCCACCUUUGUUUGCCUUU